AAUGCUUCUAAAUGUAUUGCAGUUGUUGCUGCUCUGUGUCACAUGCAUCCGUAGGUGGCAGAAGGAGAGAAACUAUGUUCAUGCUUAGUGUUCUGAUCCAUGGACAUUUGAAUUAUUAGUAGCUUAGAAGA